CUGACUGGGCACUGCACAGAUGUGGAAGCUGAGAGCAGGAACCCGGAACCCUCAAACCCUUCUAUGCAAAUGAAGCGGCUUCGCCAACACCACCUGACGGCACAGUGGAAAGCCCUGCGGAUGACCCCGGAAGUCCUUUGCCGUUUCCACAUUCAGGAAGUGGAAGAGGGGCUAGGAGCAUAAGCGCCUGCCCCAGUGCUAUUUGAAGGAUUAUCGUAAAGCAGGGCUCCAGCCUGUCCUCCCAAUACCCUUCUCCGGAGGAGACGAAAGAGAAGCCCACGCACUUCUACCCGGGGGCGUCCUCCCGUCCUCGC